CCAGACUCCUACGGGAGGCAGCAGUGGGGGAUAUUGCACAAUGGGGGAAACCCUGAUGCAGCGACGCCGCGUGGGUGAAGAAGUAUUUCGGUAUGUAAAGCCCUAUCAGCAGGGAAGAAAGAAGACGGUACCUGACUAAGAAGCCCCGGCUAACUACGUGCCAGCAGCCGCGGUAAUACGUAGGGGGCGAGCGUUAUCCGGAUUCACUGGGUGUAAAGGGAGCGUAGACGGCCGUGCAAGCCAGGAGUGAAAGCCCGGGGCCCAACCCCGGGACUGCUCUUGGAACUGUGCGGCUAGAGUGCGGGAGGGGCAGGCGGAAUUCCUGGUGUAGCGGUGAAAUGCGUAGAUAUUAGGAGGAACACCAGUGGCGAAGGCGGCUUACUGGACGGCAACUGACGCUGAGGCUCGAAAGCGUGGGGAGCAAACAGGAUUAGAUACCCCGGUA
rnacentral:rRNA from 1 species